rnacentral:rRNA from 1 species
AUCCAGACUCCUACGGGAGGCAGCAGUGGGGAAUAUUGCACAAUGGGGGAAACCCUGAUGCAGCAACGCCGCGUGAGUGAAGAAGGUUUUCGGAUUGUAAAGCUCUGUUAGCAGGGAAGAGGAAGGACGGUACCUGCAGAGGAAGCCACGGCUAACUACGUGCCAGCAGCCGCGGUAAUACGUAGGGGGCAAGCGUUAUCCGGAUUUACUGGGUGUAAAGGGAGCGUAGACGGCAGAGCAAGUCUGAAGUGAAAGCCCGCGGCCCAACUGCGGGACUGCUUUGGAAACUGCCCGGCUAGAGUGCUGGAGAGGUAAGCGGAAUUCCUAGUGUAGCGGUGAAAUGCGUAGAUAUUAGGAGGAACACCAGUGGCGAAGGCGGCUUACUGGACAGUAACUGACGUUGAGGCUCGAAAGCGUGGGGAGCAAACAGGAUUAGAUACCCGCGUA